AAAAAAUUGGUUCAGGAACUAAAAAUCCAUUAUCAUUCUUCAAAUCGUGAUUAUCAUCUUCGCAGCCGCUAUCACCAGACAAUUCGGCGCGGGUGAGCACUCGUCGGGGAGAGCCAAAGCCAAAGGAGCUCGUAGACGGCAAGCUAAAACUAACUUUGAGAUAACCAGUACUGGUCCUAUUAAACAGUUUGAUGGAUUGAAAUGCAGACGGCGUCUCUGAAAACCUAGAGACAAUAUUGUAGCCUGAGAGGGCUGCUUCUAUUGAGGAAGACAGAGUGUGUGACGACGGAAUCGGACAGCGACAACAACCUAGACGGAGAACUGAAACAGACUGCUUGGAUAACGACCUCCGACGACCUCAAACUCUACUCGACUCAGAAAAUACCGGAGCUCAAAGAGCUGACCGCUAAUUUAAAUAGGAUCUUCUACUGUUUUUGAAGUUGUUAUCAACUGGUCCUUAUGGUGAGAAGGACAGUGUUUCAUCGUUCUCCUUGGCCCUAUCCGUAUGGGUGUGUGAGUGGUGAGGGACUGGUAGAAGUGGAGACGAGACUGCUUGGUUGACGGACGAUCGGAGGAGGACGGGGCUGAAGGGUUGUUGCUCGGAGAAGAAGACGAAGCAGCAGCGGUGGCUCGCUGGCUACUGUCGCGUCGUGGAGGCGAGGCUGGCUAACCGGGGGUCGUUUGGGGUGAGGGUAACGGGUUGUUAACUGGUGGGCUGUGGUGGUGGUUAUCCUAAGAUUUUUGGUUGGUUCUUUCAAGAAGAAGACUUAGUCUUUAUUGUAGUGUGUAGUCUCAGGUCAAAAAAUCUGAAAGAAAAUGAAGUGCGUCUUCCCGUGUGUUCAAGGUGUGUCGGCUGAAAUUUGCAAGUGUAGUAUUUAUAGGAUUAGGUGUAUGUCUCGGAUAUUGGAUUAUUCGAAUUUUUAGGCCUAAAAAAUGGGUCGUUUGAAUUUAA
rnacentral:lncRNA from 1 species